UAAGACGUAGGGGACGAGCGUUGUCCGGAUUUAUUGGGCGUAAAGCGCGCGCAGGCGGCCACGUAAGUCGGAUGUGAAAUCCCGGGGCUCAACCCCGGAACUGCAUUCGAUACUGCGUGGCUCGAGGUAGGUAGGGGAGAUCGGAAUUCCUGGUGUAGCGGUGGAAUGCGCAGAUAUCAGGAGGAACACCGGUGGCGAAGGCGGAUCUCUGGGCCUUACCUGACGCUCAGGCGCGAAAGCUAGGGGAGCGAACAGGA
rnacentral:rRNA from 1 species